UAUUAAAUGAUUUUCUGUUGGAAUUAAUUAAAUGAAUAAGUAAUUAAUGUGUUGUUAAUUUUAUGAAUUUUGGGAGAAGCACGCCACACACCACCCUGCAAAGCAAAAACAACCUCCUGACCCGAGCUGAGCCGCCGCCGUAAACAGAACAAGAGUCGGCCGGUUGAGUUUUCUCCAAUUCCUCCUCCGCCAAGCAAUCAAAGUUCUCCCAAAUCCCAAAUUCGAGAAGAAAACUCCUUACAUUUCCACGCGCUAAUCGUUUCAAUCAAACUUCGUACCCGUUUCCCAGAUUCUUGGGGGAUUUUUCGGAUUCGGAAACAAGAUGCGUUCUUGAAUCCCGAGUCGCCGGCUUCCUCCUCCUUCUCUUCGAUUUCGAGCGACCUCCAUGGCGGCCUCCAUUGGCAACACCGAGAUUAAUUGGGACAAGCUUGAUAAGACUAAAUUUUAUGUGGUUGGAGCCGGCUUGUUUACAGGGGUCACAGUGGCACUGUACCCAGUAUCCGUGGUGAAAACCCGGCUACAAGUUGCUUCCAAAGAUGCUCUAGAGGGAGAUGCAUUGUCUAUGGCCAAAGGCAUUUGGAAAGCAGAUGGUAUUCGUGGUUUAUACCGAGGAUUUGGCACUGUGAUCACCGGUGCAGUUCCUGCCCGGAUUAUAUUUCUCACUGCUUUAGAGGCCACCAAGGUGGCUGCUUUCAAGAUGGUUCAACCCUUCAACUUAUCUGAGGCUACAGAGGCAGCUUUGGCUAAUGGAGUAGCUGGAAUGACUGCCUCGCUUUUCUCUCAGGCUGUCUUUGUUCCCAUUGAUGUGAUUAGUCAAAGGUUGAUGGUGCAAGGGUACUCGGGCCAUGCAAGGUACACCGGGGGGAUGGAUGUUGCUCGUAAGGUUAUAAAGUUGGAUGGCAUACGAGGACUUUAUAGAGGGUUUGGACUUUCUGUUAUGACUUACUCUCCAUCUAGCGCCGUAUGGUGGGCUAGUUAUGGUUCAAGCCAGCGCUUAAUCUGGAGCAGUUUCAUAGGCCGCGGAACUGGUUCUGAAGAGGCUGUUCCAAGCGUGGGGAAAAUAGUGUUGGUUCAAGCUGCUGGUGGAAUUAUUGCAGGUGCAACAGCAUCCUGCAUAACAACUCCAUUGGAUACCAUCAAGACACGACUGCAGACAAUGGGACACGAUAAGAGACCCACUGCAAGAGAAGUUGUUAAGAACUUGAUCAGAGAAGAUGGCUGGCAAGGUUUCUACAGAGGGCUAGGUCCAAGAUUUUUCAGUAUGUCCGCCUGGGGCACCUCGAUGAUAUUGGCUUAUGAAUAUCUGAAGCGCUUGUGCGCAAAAGAUGAAUAGCUGUUGUCAUUCCUCUUCCAUCCACAACCUUUUCUUCUUGCCAUUGAGCGACUGUGCAGCGACAGAAAAUUUGGCUAUGAAAUAAACUGGUACCGAACAUUUCGAGGAAUGCUAGAGAUUGUGGACAGUGAAGCCUGUUUUGUUAAUUUCGAUUGGGCAGUUUGAUCCCAAUAUAUCCCAAUAUGCAUACUUUUGGAAAGCAAGUGUACCUUCACUCUGAGCGGGGAAUUUCAACUUGUUAAUGCAACAACAAAGUUUUAUCCCACUAAGGGGAUUCGGCUGUAGAAAUCUUAGAACGUCACUGCGCUCGGUUUUGUGCUAAGUGUCACUGCGCUUGAUUUUAUGUCAAGUCUUCUGUUGGCUCUAAGUACUUCAAAAUGUAUUAUUAAUACAAGUCGUAUAAUAAUUUCAUGUUGCUAUA